rnacentral:rRNA from 1 species
UAGGGAAUCUUCGGCAAUGGGGGCAACCCUGACCGAGCAACGCCGCGUGAGUGAAGAAGGUUUUCGGAUCGUAAAGCUCUGUUGUAAGUCAAGAACGAGUGUGAGAGUGGAAAGUUCACACUGUGACGGUAGCUUACCAGAAAGGGACGGCUAACUACGUGCCAGCAGCCGCGGUAAUACGUAGGUCCCGAGCGUUGUCCGGAUUUAUUGGGCGUAAAGCGAGCGCAGGCGGUUUGAUAAGUCUGAAGUUAAAGGCUGUGGCUCAACCACAGUUCGCUUUGGAAACUGUCAAACUUGAGUGCAGAAGGGGAGAGUGGAAUUCCAUGUGUAGCGGUGAAAUGCGUAGAUAUAUGGAGGAACACCGGUGGCGGAAGCGGCUCUCUGGUCUGUAACUGACGCUGAGGCUCGAAAGCGUGGGGAGCGAACAGGAUUAGAUACCCUGGUAGUCCACGCCGUAACGAUGAGUGCUAGGUGUUGGGUCCUUUCCGGGAUUCAGUGCCGCAGCUAACGCAUUAAGCACUCCGCCUGGGGAGUACGACCGCAAGGUUG